rnacentral:rRNA from 1 species
AUUGAACGCUGGCGGCAGGCCUAACACAUGCAAGUCGAACGAGUGGCGGACGGGUGAGUAAUGUCUGGGAAACUGCCCGAUGGAGGGGGAUAACUACUGGAAACGGUAGCUAAUACCGCAUACCAUCGGAUGUGCCCAGAUGGGAUUAGCUAGUAGGUGGGGUAAUGGCUCACCUAGGAGACGAUCCCUAGCUGGUCUGAGAGGAUGACCAGCAACACUGGAACUGAGACACGGACCAGGCUCCGAGGGGAGGCAGCAGGGGGGAAUAUUGCACAAUGGGCGCAAGACUGAUGCAGCCAGGCCGCGUGUAUGAAGAAGGCCGUCGGGUUGUAAAGUACUUUCAGCGAGGAGGCGUUACUCGCAGAAGAAGCACCGGCUAACUCCGUGCCAGCAGGCGCGGUAAUUC